rnacentral:ncRNA from 1 species
AGAACUGAUAAUCCAAAGAGUGGAAUGAAGGAGUAACGCUCUGAAACGCUCUCCCUAAUACUUCGGCAGGCACAGUCCAAAAGGCUGAUGUCUGAAGCCCGAGAAAGUCGGCAGAGAGUUACCGUCUUGCGAUUAUGUUACAACGCAACGAAAGCUAUCCAGAGGUGGAUGGUGUAACCUAUAUGCCGGGGGUCUACAAA